UGCAAUCAGCAGUUUCUUAUGCAUGUAUUUUUUUCAGUAGCAAAUCAGUAACUAUGUCCUGCUUUAGAGUGAUGCACUUUUAGGUUUUAUGCAGUAGUCCACAGUUAAUGUUUGCCCCCAGUAUGGUGGAUGUAUGGUUGCAUGUCAACAACUACCACAAGCAUUUAUAUCAAAGAAAAAUGGGUGUACUGUACUCGGGCUAUAAGAAGACACUGGCAUACCAACUAAGAUAUGUUUCAUUGUUGUCCACUCAAUAAUUGCUAGUCAGAUAAACGUAGAUUGCAUGGUCCUGUUCUGAUAUGUUGACGAAUAAAUUUCAGACUGGAACUAUAGAUGCAAACAAUGUCCUCAUUCACUAGCCUGCAUCCCCAUCGAUAAUAUUUGCAUUGAACGUGCAGCGGCAAAGUUAGGUACACGUGGGACUGGCUUAUGCAAAAAGUGUUUAACUGUUGUUGAGAUUUCUUCACCUAUUCAGGUACCUUGCAAAACUAUUUGCGUUUUUUGCCGUUCGCGUUGCGUGGCCGCUUCGUUUGCUUGCACUGUGCUCCGAUCUGGUGAAGGGCGCCAAGGAGAAGCAGCUCAAGGUCGAGGGCCCCGCCAGGAUGCCUACCAAGGUGCUCAACAUCACCACCAGGAAGUCCCCCUAUGGAGAAGGAAAGUGGUGAGAAGAUGUCGAUGAUGCCUACUUGGGACAUUC